rnacentral:rRNA from 1 species
CAUGCAAGUCGAGCGGUAAGGCCUUUCGGGGUACACGAGCGGCGAACGGGUGAGUAACACGUGGGUGAUCUGCCCUGCACUUCGGGAUAAGCCUGGGAAACUGGGUCUAAUACCGGAUAUGACCUCCUGUUGCAUGACGUGUGGUGGAAAGAUUUAUCGGUGCAGGAUGGGCCCGCGGCCUAUCAGCUUGUUGGUGGGGUAAUGGCCUACCAAGGCGACGACGGGUAGCCGACCUGAGAGGGUGACCGGCCACACUGGGACUGAGACACGGCCCAGACUCCUACGGGAGGCAGCAGUGGGGAAUAUUGCACAAUGGGCGAAAGCCUGAUGCAGCGACGCCGCGUGAGGGAUGACGGCCUUCGGGUUGUAAACCUCUUUCAGCAGGGACGAAGCGCAAGUGACGGUACCUGCAGAAGAAGCACCGGCUAACUACGUGCCAGCAGCCGCGGUAAUACGUAGGGUGCAAGCGUUGUCCGGAAUUACUGGGCGUAAAGAGUUCGUAGGCGGUUUGUCCCGUCGUUUGUGACAACCCGCCGCUCAACUGCUGGCUUGGAGGCGAUACGGGCAGACUUGAGUACUGC